rnacentral:rRNA from 1 species
UACGAAGGGGGCUAGCGUUGCUCGGAAUGACUGGGCGUAAAGGGCGCGUAGGCGGAUGGCACAGUCAGAUGUGAAAUUCCCGGGCUUAACCUGGGGGCUGCAUUUGAUACGUGUUGUCUAGAGUGAGGAAGGGGGUCGUGGAAUUCCCAGUGUAGAGGUGAAAUUCGUAGAUAUUGGGAAGAACACCGGUGGCGAAGGCGGCGACCUGGUCCUUGACUGACGCUGAGGCGCGAAAGCGUGGGGAGCAAACAGG